rnacentral:rRNA from 1 species
CAGCAGCCGCGGUAAUACGUAGGGGGCAAGCGUUGUCCGGAUUCAUUGGGCGUAAAGAGCGUGUAGGCGGCCAGGUAGGUCGGUUGUGAAAACUGGAGGCUCAACCUUCAGAGGUCGACCGAAACCAUCUGGCUAGAGUCCGGGAGAGGAGAGUGGAAUUCCUGGUGUAGCGGUGAAAUGCGCAGAUAUCAGGAAGAACACCCGUGGCGAAAGCGGCUCUCUGGAACGGUACUGACGCUGAGACGCGAAAGCGUGGGGAGCGAACAGGAUUAGAUACCCUGGUAGUCCACGCCGUAAACGAUGGGCGCUAGGUGUGGGAGGUGUCGACUCCUUCCGUGCCGCAGCUAACGCAUUAAGCGCCCCGCCUGGGGAGUACGGCCGCAAGGCUAAAACUCAAAG